GGAAGCCUGUGUGCCUGAAGGUGCCGCGCAGGUGGCCCUAGCGCGCAGCUGCCUGCCGUCGGCAGCCCAGGCGUGCCCGCGCUGCCGGAGCAGGCCGCSAAAUCUUUCACGGAGGGGCUGGGAGCUCUGCCUGUCAGUACGUAACAAGAUGUCCAUGUUGCAAAGGUGAGGCCAUGGGAGAUGCAGCGUGUACUGAAAACGCAACCAGACCCUGCUCCUCCUUCAGAUCGUCCUUAGAAAUCCCGUGGAACCAAGGCACGCCAGCAAGGCCUCCUUUGUCAGGAUCCGAGCUGCUACAGGACACCAACUGGAUCACAGAUCGACUGUGAGCGUCUUGAUGAAGGAUCUGGCAACAGAAAUGUAAGAG
rnacentral:lncRNA from 1 species